CCUCCUUUUCUUGGCGAGGUCCAGGCAUGUGGUCCUGCUCCCGGUUAUGUGCGGUGGUGGAGAGAAAGGGCCCGGGCAUGUCUUCGGUGCCAAAGUGCUGAGAAGUGACAGUAGAGAAUACCUCACUAAGUAAGACACCUCUGGUUCGCCGGUUCUAUCCUCAAACACCGGGACGCUU